rnacentral:lncRNA from 1 species
UUUGGUAAGAAAGAAGGAGUUUGUUUUGAGACAUUGGAUGGUAUGGUAGGGUAGGGAAUUGUCUAUAUGAAUGAUUUGAUGCGACACCAAAAGGUUACAGCGACAUGGGUCCACUCAAGCUACACUUUUAAAGUGGUCGAAGUUCUAAACGCAGACACGAAUGCCACGUGUUUGAGACCACAACUCAACCUCGGUUUCCUUGCUUCUACUGACAUCUUAUUUAAUAAGUAGUGACGUGUCUGCACCUGCUAC